ACUCAAAGGAAUAGACGGGGGCCCGCACAAGCGGUGGAGCAUGUGGUUUAAUUCGAUGCUACGCGAAAAACCUUACCUAGGUUUGACAUCCCACGCUACUCGGUGAAAGCCGGGGUUCCCUUCGGGGACGUGGAGACAGGUGCUGCAUGGCUGUCGUCAGCUCGUGUUGUGAGAUGUUGGGUUAAGUCCCGCAACGAGCGCAACCCUCGCUAUUAGUUGCCAGCAUUAAGUUGGGCACUCUAAUAGGACCGCUGGCCUAUAAGGCAGAGGAAGGUGGGGAUGACGUCAAGUCCUCAUGGCCUUUAUAUCUAGGGCAACACACGUGCUACAAUGCGAAGUACAAACCGCAGCUAACUUGCAAAAGUACGCUAAUCGUAAAAAACUUCGCUCAGUUCGGAUUGGAGUCUGCAACUCGACUCCAUGAAGCUGGAAUCGCUAGUAAUCGCGGAUCAGCACGCCGCGGUGAAUACGUUCCCGGGCCUUGUACACACCGCCCGU
rnacentral:rRNA from 1 species